rnacentral:ncRNA from 1 species
AAAAUGGAGAGUUUGAUCCUGGCUCAGAACGAACGCUGGCGGCGUGCCUAACACAUGCAAGUCGUACGAGAAAUCCUGGGCAACUGGGAAAGUAAAGUGGCGCACGGGUGAGUAACGCGUGGGUAACCUACCCUUGGAUUUGGGAUAACUCCGCGAAAGCGGGGUUAAUACCGGAUGAUAUUCCGAUUUCUAAGGGGAUCGGAAUCAAAGGUGGCCUCUGCAUGCAAGCUAUCAUCUGAGGAUGGGCCCGCGUACCAUUAGCUAGUUGGUAGGGUAAUGGCCUACCAAGGCAACGAUGGUUAGCUGGUCUUAGAGGAUGGCCAGCCACACUGG